rnacentral:rRNA from 1 species
UACAGAGGGGGCAAGCGUUAUUCGGAAUUAUUGGGCGUAAAGGGCGCGUAGGCGGCUUGGCAAGUGGAAGGUGAAAUCCCUCGGCUUAACCGAGGAACUGCCCUCCAAACUGCUUAGCUUGAGACCGGGAGAGGUGAGUGGAAUUCCCAGUGUAGCGGUGAAAUGCGUAGAUAUUGGGAGGAACACCAGUGGCGAAGGCGGCUCACUGGACCGGUACUGACGCUGAUGCGCGAAAGCGUGGGGAGCAAACGGGG